UACGUAGGGUGCAAGCGUUGUCCGGAAUUAUUGGGCGUAAAGGGCUCGUAGGCGGUCCAUCGCGUCGGGAGUGAAAGCUGGGCUCAACCCCAGUCCUGCUUCCGAUACGGGUGGACUAGAGGUAUGCAGGGAGAACGGAAUUCCUGGUGUAGCGGUGAAAUGCGCAGAUAUCAGGAGGAACACCGGUGGCGAAGGCGGAUCUCUGGGCUACUGACCGCGUGAGGACGAAAGCGUGGGGAGCAAACAGG
rnacentral:rRNA from 1 species